UAGGGCCCGCCGAGAUAGACGGUGCGGAUAUUUGGUGUGGCGUAUUCAUGGAAUGAUAGAAGGGUAAUUGAGGGAGUGGUGCACGUGUGAGUGUGUGGUGUGAGAAGUAGGGGAUUAUUCCCCCACCUCUAUUAUUUCUCACGGAGGAGAAAUAUAUCUCAUUCUCUUUCUUUCUCACUCUCGGCAGUCUCUCCCUCUCCCUCUCCAUCCGAAAACCCUCCCUCUCUUCUCUCUUCGAUUUCAACCCUUUAGAGCGUGAUUCCGGACGAAGCCCAAGAAUUAAAGUUGCUAUUCGGAGCACGGGCUUUCCGAAUAUCUAAGAAAAAUCUUGAUCGGAUCGCGUGGGAGCUCAGUUGACUUGGUCAAAGGGUCGGGUUUUGCUCAAAACCCAUGAGGUGCACUACAGGGAUAGAGUCUUGGAGGGUGUGGAGUGCAUGCAGACAUCACAGGCUAAAGUUAUUAUUUGAAGUAUUGUCUUUUUUCGUAAAUCAAACUGCAUUGUACUAUUCUCUAUUUUGGAAUACUAUAUCAGUUGACAAAUUUGUGAGAUUCAGAAAUUGUAUUGCAAUUUGGGGUACUAUAUGUACUUUUGUGAGGAUUUGUAUUUAAAAUGGUAUUGUUAUUUAUGUUAAAAA